GUGGGGAAUUUUGGACAAUGGGCGCAAGCCUGAUCCAGCCAUUCCGCGUGCAGGAUGAAGGCCUUCGGGUUGUAAACUGCUUUUGUACGGAACGAAAAGCCUCUGGUUAAUACCCGGGGGUCAUGACGGUACCGUAAGAAUAAGCACCGGCUAACUACGUGCCAGCAGCCGCGGUAAUACGUAGGGUGCGAGCGUUAAUCGGAAUUACUGGGCGUAAAGCGUGCGCAGGCGGUGAUGUAAGACAGUUGUGAAAUCCCCGGGCUCAACCUGGGAACUGCAUCUGUGACUGCAUUGCUGGAGUGCAGCAGAGGGGGAUGGAAUUCCGCGUGUAGCAGUGAAAUGCGUAGAUAUGCGGAGGAACACCGAUGGCGAAGGCAAUCCCCUGGGCCUGCACUGACGCUCAUGCACGAAAGCGUGGGGAGCAAACAGGAUUAGAUACCCCUGUAGUCC
rnacentral:rRNA from 1 species